GUCCCUGUAGCGUAAUGAAUAAAUAGCAUGUUGGACAUCUAUUCCAAAGGUCGUGGGUUCGAAUCCCACCUGGGAUG